GUAACACCAACUGGAGGACCGAACCCGCAUCUGUUGCAAUAGAUUGGGAUGACUUGUGGCUAGGGGUGAAAGGCCAAUCAAACCGGGUAAUAGCUGGUUCUCCGCGAAAUCUAUUUAGGUAGAGCGUCGAUCGAAUACUCUUGGGGGUAGAGCACUGACUGGGCUAGGGGUCCUCACCGGAUUACCAAACCUUAUCAAACUCCGAAUACCAAGAAGUACUAAUCGGCAGACACACGGCGGGUGCUAACGUC
rnacentral:rRNA from 1 species